rnacentral:rRNA from 1 species
GAUGAACGCUGGCGGCGUGCCUAAUACAUGCAAGUCGAGCGAACAGAUAAGGAGCUUGCUCCUUUGACGUUAGCGGCGGACGGGUGAGUAACACGUGGGUCACCUACCUAUAAGACUGGGAUAACUUCGGGAAACCGGAGCUAAUACCGGAUAAUAUUUCGAACCGCAUGGUUCGAUAGUGAAAGAUGGUUUUGCUAUCACUUAUAGAUGGACCCGCGCCGUAUUAGCUAGUUGGUAAGGUAACGGCUUACCAAGGCGACGAUACGUAGCCGACCUGAGAGGGUGAUCGGCCACACUGGAACUGAGACACGGUCCAGACUCCUACGGGAGGCAGCAGUAGGGAAUCUUCCGCAAUGGGCGAAAGCCUGACGGAGCAACGCCGCGUGAGUGAUGAAGGUCUUCGGAUCGUAAAACUCUGUUAUUAGGGAAGAACAUACGUGUAAGUAACUGUGCACGUCUUGACGGUACCUAAUCAGAAAGCCACGGCUAACUACGUG